UACGUAGGGUGCGAGCGUUUGUCCGGAAUUAUUGGGCGUAAAGAGCUCGUAGGUGGUUUGUCGCGUUGUUCGUGAAAACUCACAGCUCAACUGUGGGCGUGCGGGCGAUACGGGCAGACUGGAGUACUGCAGGGGAGACUGGAAUUCCUGGUGUAGCGGUGAAAUGCGCAGAUAUCAGGAGGAACACCGGUGGCGAAGGCGGGUCUCUGGGCCGAUACUGACGCUGAGGAGCGAAAGCCCAGGGGAGCAAACGGG
rnacentral:rRNA from 1 species